rnacentral:rRNA from 1 species
GACGAACGCUGGCGGCGUGCUUAACACAUGCAAGUCGAACGGAAAGGCCUCUUUCGGGGGGUACUCGAGUGGAGAACGGGUGAGUAACACGUGAGUAACCUGCCCUUGACUUUGGGAUAACUUCAGGAAACUGGGGCUAAUACCGGAUAGGAGCUCCUGCUGCAUGGUGGGGGUUGGAGAGUUUCGGCGGUUGGGGAUGGACUCGCGGCGUAUCAGCUUGUUGGUGGGGUAGUGGCUUACCAAGGCUUUGACGGGUAGCCGGCCUGAGAGGGUGAGCGGCCACAUUGGGACUGAGAUACGGCCCAGACUCCUACGGGAGGCAGCAGUGGGGAAUAUUGCACAAUGGGCGCAAGCCGGAUGCAGCAACGCCGCGUGCGGGAUGACGGCCUUCGGGUUGUAAACCGCUUUCAGCAGGGACGAAGCUUUUUGUGACGGUACCUGCAGAAGAAGCACCGGCUAACUACGUG